UCUUGGACAAUGGGGGAAACCCUGAUCUAGCCAUGCCGCGUGAGUGAUGAAGGCCUUAGGGUUGUAAAUCUCUUUCAGCUGGGAAGAUAAUGACGGUACCAGCAGAAGAAGCCCCGGCUAACUCCGUUCCAGCAGCCGCGGUAAUACGGAGGGGGCUAGCGUUGUUCGGAAUUACUGGGCGUAAAGCGCACGUAGGCGGACCAGAAAGUUGGGGGUGAAAUCCCGGGGCUCAACCUCGGAACUGCCUUCAAAACUAUUGGUCUGGAGUUAGAGAGAGGUGAGUAGAAUUCCGAGUGUAGAGGUGAAAUUCGUAGAUAUUCGGAGGAACACCAGUGGCGAAGGCGGCUCACUGGCUCGAUACUGACGCUGAGGUGCGAAAGCGUGGGGAGCAAACAG
rnacentral:rRNA from 1 species